UAUAGUAAUAACGGAAGAAUAAUUUACAAAUUUUUUUUAUCUGGGGUGAAAUUCUUAUACGUGACUAAUGAUAUCGAAUGUACGUAAAUAUUUAUUUACAUGUGAGAGUAAUGCAACUUUGUAUUGAGACGUAAGCUAAAAAGCAAAAAAUUUACUCCUGGAAGCACUAGUUUGUUAUGUGUAAAUUUAAUAAGGCGUUAAUUAAAUGAUGCACUUCAUCAAUUGGUUUCGGUUUCAAGGUAGCUACUUUUUACGUGUUUUACAAAUCGAUGUAAUGUAAGAAACAGGUAUUUUUUAUUAGUUUAUGUGUUCAUUCAUUUAGAGGGUGAGUUAAAACACCUAAACAUCCCUAAAAUACACCGCCAGAAAGAACUUGUGUUGUUUCGAGAGGAGCAAAAAUCAAAAUCCUCUAUAGGUACAUGUGAAAGCCUUGAGGUACCUAUUGGCAAAUUUACCGCAAAUGCCAUGGUCGAACAGGGUGGUAUUCCCAUUCGGAGAACACGUGUAAUAAAAAUGACUGGAAGAUCAUUCACUCGUAUUUCCAUCGUGCAAGUAGAAGAAUGCCGAAAUUUGGUUAAGUGCCAUUGAAAUGGUAUAGUAGACUCAUUCUAAAUAAUUUUUAGCCAUUUGCUUUUCCAAAUGAAAGAGAAAAUAGUCAACACUUUGGCACCAUUGGCAUCUCUGAAAGGAUCGUUACAUGAGCUUUCGGGAAAUACUUAUCAAUCACCGUCGUCUUGCUUGCUUGGGGUGUUUUCUGGUAUCACCUAUUCGCCAUUGUAUUACCGCUUCCAUUAGAAUUGUCUGAAGCAACCGCUUGAUAAUGGUCGAAUGAACGCUGCCCAUUCUGCCUCGCUCUCAACCGAUACUGAUGAGGAUAAUCCGAACCCGAAGAUGGGUGUGGGAAUUGGAAACAAAAGUGGAAAAGUACUAAAGGUGGUUGGACUGGUCACCGUUAAUGCCCAUUGAUCGCCUUUUCCGAUCUCCAGGGCGGGAGUGGAUCAAUUCUAUCCCAGAACCCACAAGAGAUGUAUAUUAUUAUAUUUAUUAUUAUUUAAAAAAUGUAGAUCUUUAAAAUGUCUUG